rnacentral:rRNA from 1 species
AUUGAACGCUGGCGGCAGGCUUAACACAUGCAAGUCGAGCGGGGGAAGGUAGCUUGCUACCGGACCUAGCGGCGGACGGGUGAGUAAUGCUUAGGAAUCUGCCUAUUAGUGGGGGACAACAUCUCGAAAGGGAUGCUAAUACCGCAUACGUCCUACGGGAGAAAGCAGGGGAUCUUCGGACCUUGCGCUAAUAGAUGAGCCUAAGUCGGAUUAGCUAGUUGGUGGGGUAAAGGCCUACCAAGGCGACGAUCUAUAGCGGGUCUGAGAGGAUGGUCCGCCACACUGGGACUGAGACACGGCCCAGCCUCCUACGGGAGGCAGCAGGGGGGAAUAUUGGACAAUGGGGGGAACCCUGAUCCAGCCAUGCCGCGUGUGUGAAGAAGGCCUUAUGGUUGUAAAGCACUUUAAGCGAGGAGGAGGCUACUCUAGUUAAUACCUAGGGAUAGUGGACGUUACUCGCAGAAUAAGCACCGGCUAACUCUGUGCCAGCCGCCGCAGUAA